AGCAGCCGCGGUAAUUCCAGCUCCAAUAGCGUAUAUUAAAGUUGUUGCAGUUAAAAAGCUCGUAGUUGAAUUUCGGGAUCAAUAUGCUGGUCGUGCCUUUGGUACGUACUGGUAUUAUUGGUUUCUCCUUUCUGAUGAAUCACGAUGUCAUUAAUUUGGUGUCAUGGGGAGUCAGGACUGUUACUUUGAAAAAUUAGAGUGUUUAAAGCAGGCUUACGCUUGAAUACAUUAGCAUGGAAUAAUGAAAUAGGACGUUUAAUUCUAUUUUGUUGGUUUCUAGGAUUGACGUAAUGAUUAAUAGGGAUAGUUGGGGGCAUUAGUAUUCAAUUGUCAGAGGUGAAAUUCUUGGAUUUAUUGAAGACUAACUACUGCGAAAGCAUUUGCCAAGGAUGUUUUCAUUAAUCAAGAACGAAAGUUAGGGGAUCGAAGACGAUCAGAUACCGUCGUAGU
rnacentral:rRNA from 1 species